rnacentral:rRNA from 1 species
ACGUGAUCUGAGUUCAGACCGGAGCAAUCCAGGUCAGUUUCUAUCUAUAAAGGGCUUUUUCUAGUACGAAAGGACCGAAAAAGCAUGGCCAAUAUUCAAACACGCCAUCUAACUAACUUAUGACUCAAACUUAAUAAACAACAAACCUUUUUCCUCGCCCCAAAAACAGAGCA